rnacentral:rRNA from 1 species
CCUACGGGAGGCAGCAGUGGGGAAUAUCGCACAAUGGGCGGAAGCCUGAUGCAGCGACGCCGCGUGAGGGAUGACGGCCUUCGGGUUGUAAACCUCUUUCAGUAGGGAAGAAGCGAGAGUGACGGUACCUGCAGAAGAAGCGCCGGCUAACUACGUGCCAGCAGCCGCGGUAAUACGUAGGGCGCAAGCGUUGUCCGGAAUUAUUGGGCGUAAAGAGCUCGUAGGCGGUUUGUCGCGUCUGCUGUGAAAGCCCGGGGCUCAACCCCGGGUCUGCAGUGGGUACGGGCAGACUAGAGUGCAGUAGGGGAGACUGGAAUUCCUGGUGUAGCGGUGAAAUGCGCAGAUAUCAGGAGGAACACCGAUGGCGAAGGCAGGUCUCUGGGCUGUUACUGACGCUGAGGAGCGAAAGCAUGGGGAGCGAACAGGAUUAGAUACCCUGGUAGUCCAUGCCGUAAACGUUGGGCACUAGGUGUGGGGGACAUUCCACGUUUUCCGCGCCGUAGCUAACGCAUUAAGUGCCCCGCCUGGGGAGUACGGCCGCAAGGCUAAAACUCAAAUGAAUUGACGGGG